rnacentral:misc_RNA from 1 species
CCUUAAAGAACCUGCCUUUGUAGUGCUCACACAGAUUGUCUGAUAAAUGUAAAGAAGCAAGACGGCUGGCAAGUCACGACUCCUCGUGUCCCCUUCCUCUAGCGGUUAGGACUCCGCCCUUUCACGGCGGCAACAGGGGUUCAAAUCCCCUAGGGAACCCCCCUUGCUGGCUGUGAGUGAAAGGCACAACCAACCGAUAUCUCAAAACUCAUCUUCGGGUGACGUUUGAAAUAUUUGCUCUUUAAAAAUCUGGAUCAAGCUGAAAAUUGAAACGACACACUGUUCAAGUGUGUUCGAGUCUCUCAAAUUUUCGCGACACGACAAUGUUUUACGAAACAUCUUCGGGUUGUGA